rnacentral:tRNA from 1 species
UCCCGUGUGGCUCAGUUGGUAGAGCAUGGUGUUUGCAACGCCAGAGUUAUCGGUUUGAUUCCCACGGGGG